AACGAACGCUGGCGGCGUGGAUAAGACAUGCAAGUCGAACGGGAGUUUAUUUAUAGCAAUAUGAGUGAACUCUAGUGGCGAAAGGGUGCGUAACACGUGGCUACCUACCUCGAAGUUGGGGAUAGCUCGGCGGAAAGCCGGAUUAAUACCGAAUGUGACCGUAAGGUCAAAGCUGGGGAUCGUAAGACCUGGCGCUUUGAGAU
rnacentral:rRNA from 1 species